AGUCUCACUCUGUAGCCCAGGCUGCAGUGCAGUGGGGUGACUUCAGCUCACUGCAACCUCUGCCUCAUGGGUUCAAGUGAUUCUCCUGCCUCAGCCUCCCAACCUCCUGAGUAGCUGGGACUACAGGCACACGCCACCAUGCCUGGCUAAUUUUGUUGCUUUUGUAGAGACAAAGUUAUAUACCAUGUUGCCCGGGCUUAGCUAGUUAUUUUUAAAAGGCUUCUGAAUUUCCUCUCUGCUCAUUUGUAUCUUUCAUUGUAACAUCCUAUGUGAAUUUCUAUAAUUUUGUGUCACAUUGGUGUGUUUGUCUGUUUUGUGUUGCUAUAAAGGAAUACCUGAGGCUUGGUGAUUUAUAAAGAAAAGUUUAUUUGGCUCACUAUUCUGCAGGCUGUACAAGAAGCAUGAUGCCAGCAUCUGCUUCUGGUGACAACCUCAAGAAGUUUACAAUUGGCCGCGUGCGGUGGCUCAUGCCUGUAAUGCCAGCACUUCGGGAGGCGGAGACAGAUGGAUCAUUUGAGGUCAGGAGUUCGAGACCAGGCUGGCCAACAUGGUGAAACCCCAUCUCUACUAAAAAUACAAAAAUUAGCUGGGCAUGGUGGCAUGUGUCUGGAAUCCCUGCUACUCAGGAGGCUGAGGCAAGAGGAUCACUUGGAACUUGGGAGGCAGAGGUUGCUGUGAGCUGAGAUCACACCACUGUACUCCAGCCUGGGCAACAGAGUGAUACUCUAUCUCAAAAAAAAAAGAAAGAAAGAAAGAAAAGAAAAAGAAGCUUACAAUCAUGGUGGAAGGCGAAGAGGAGGAGCAGGCAUAUCACAUGGCCAAAAAGGGAGCAAGAGAAAGGUGAGAAAGACACUAGACUCUUUUUAAAACCAGCUCUCACAUGAGCUAAUGGAAUAAGAACUCACUCAUUACCACAAGGACAGAACCCAGCCAUUCAUGAGGGACCUGCCACCAUGACCCAAAAACCUCCUACUUGACCCAACCUCCAACACUGGGGAUAACAUUUCAACAUGAGAUUUGAAGAGGACAAAUACUCAAACUAUAUCACUUGUUGUCCAUUUUUAAUCUUUCUCUAACAUACCCUAACUUCUUCUUGAAAAUGCUUAAUUUUCUCUGUUUUGAGAUGUAAAUUUGCUAUCCUGUUUUUCUUAAAACUUGGUAAGAUCUUCAGCCAUGAAGGACAGACAAACUGUAACCUUUCCAUUUACAAAGCUGCAUUUGAAUUCAACUGUCCUUUUAAACUAAGGAGUUUUACUGGUCUCGUGGCUAAAAUUUUAAAGAUGUAGGCCAGGUGCAGUGGCUCAUGCCUGUAAUCCUAUCACUUUUGGAGACCAAGGCGGGGAUGGAUCACCUGAGGUCAGGAGUUCA
rnacentral:lncRNA from 1 species